CUGUGUUCCUGAAACCCAUGUCAUUGACG
rnacentral:misc_RNA from 1 species